GUAGGGAAUAUUGGGCAAUGGUCGGAAGACUGACCCAGUCAUGCCGCGUGCAGGAAGACGGCCCUCUGGGUUGUAAACUGCUUUUAUCUGGGAAGAAAAAGGCCAUGCGUGGCAAAUUGCCGGUACCAGAUGAAUAAGCACCGGCUAACUCCGUGCCAGCAGCCGCGGUAAUACGGAGGGUGCGAGCGUUGUCCGGAUUUAUUGGGUUUAAAGGGUGCGUAGGCGGCUGAUUAAGUCAGCGGUGAAAGACUUCGGCUUAACCGGAGCAGUGCCGUUGAUACUGGUUGGCUUGAGUGUCGGAGGGGUACAUGGAAUUGAUGGUGUAGCGGUGAAAUGCAUAGAUACCAUCAGGAACACCGAUAGCGAAGGCAUUGUACUGGCCGACAACUGACGCUGAUGCACGAAAGUGUGGGGAUCGAACAGGAUUAGAAACCCCGGUAGUCC
rnacentral:rRNA from 1 species